UAAUACGGAGGGUGCAAGCGUUAAUCGGAAUUACUGGGCGUAAAGCGCACGCAGGCGGUCUGUCAAGUCGGAUGUGAAAUCCCCGGGCUCAACCUGGGAACUGCAUUCGAAACUGGCAGGCUUGAGUCUUGUAGAGGGGGGUAGAAUUCCAGGUGUAGCGGUGAAAUGCGUAGAGAUCUGGAGGAAUACCGGUGGCGAAGGCGGCCCCCUGGACAAAGACUGACGCUCAGGUGCGAAAGCGUGGGGAGCAAACAGGAUUAGAUACCCUGGUAGUCCACGCCGUAAACGAUGUCUACUUGGAGGUUGUGCCCUUGAGGCGUGGCUUCCGGAGCUAACGCGUUAAGUAGACCGCCUGGGGAGUACGGCCGCAAGGUUAAAACUCAAAUGAAUUGACGGGGGCCCGCACAAGCGGUGGAGCAUGUGGUUUAAUUCGAUGCAACGCGAAGAACCUUAC
rnacentral:rRNA from 2 species